AGGUGAAAUUUAGUGACAUUAGGUGAAAAUAUAGAAAUAAAAGAUGUUUUUAGGCUGUUAAGACUUAGGUAUAAAACAGGAUUAGAUACCCUGUUAUACUAAGUUGUAAGUAUAGUGCUUGAGUAGUAAAUAGUUAUAUUCUCGAAACUUAAAAGAUUUGGCGGUAUUUUAGUCUUGUUAGAGGAACCUGUUCUUUAAACGAUAAACCACGAAUUAUCUUACCUCUUUUUGUAUACAGUUUGUAUACCGCCAUUGUUAGAUAGGUUUUAUAAGAUCUAUCAAAAUAAAAGUUUUUAGUAUAUUAGGUCAAGGUGCAGCCAAUAAAGAGGCUAGUAAUGGGUUACAAUACUAUAUGUGUAUACGGAAAAGCCAAGGUAGAUGGGCUUGGAAGGUGGAUUUAAUAGUAAUUAUUAUUUAUCAUGGUAUUUUGAUAAUAGCUCUAGGAUAUGUA
rnacentral:rRNA from 1 species